AAGAAGAAGAAGAAGAAGAAGAAGAAGAAGAAGAAGAAGAAAGUAUUGUCACUGUUGUUCAGGCUCUUCAAGAUUAGUCACCCAGCAGAUAUGCUGGCUCCAGGUGACCUCUACCAGUAGCAUAGCCCCCAACAGGAGAUUCCCAGGCUUGGCAUUAAUACCUGCCAGGCACUGAGGAUGUAAAAAUGAACAUGCCAUAACUUAGUCUUCGAGGUGCGCAGCUCAGCAAAGGAUGUGGAGGUAUACACAAACAUCUUAGGUACAAGCAUCACAGCUUCCAGAGCGGGAUGCUCAGUGUGAUGCAGCACAGAGAAGGGGUUCUGGGAGGACAGUCCAAGGCUGAGGGGCUGCAGGAGGCUUUAAAAUCAAAGUAGCAUUGGAGUUGGGUCUGGAAAGAUGGCCAAGGCCAGGAAGGACAAGACUUGCAGAAUUAUGGAGAUGUAAGAAUGCUAGCUAGUGAUCAAGUGAUUUCAUGGGAGCAGAACACAGGGUGCCGAGGUUGAAGUUGAUGGGGCUGGAUGGGGAGAUGAGGUCGGGUCUUGGGCUAUUGGGUGGAGUUUGGAAAAUGGGUAGGGGGAGGAAGAAAAGUAGUAAAGAUUUAAGGCUAUAGAGGAGGAGGACUCAAUCCAAUGGUGGAGUGGGCAGCAGUCAGGAAUAGGAGGAAGCAGCAUAAAGGAGGGUGAUCAGGACACUGUCACACACACCCAGGCUUGUGACUAUGAAGUUCUGAACCAGGACAGUGAUGCUAGGCUGGCCGAAAAGGUGUUCUGGUCAGCUAUGGCCAAGAGGCCACACUGAAGGGUGACACUCAGCUCUCCGACUCCCUUGGCCUCUUUAACUACAGACUUAGGCUGGGUCAGCUUGACCUCAAACUACAUUAACUUAAAAUAUCAAAAUGGCAAUCAUUUACUUAGAUGAAUGAGCAGCUUUGGAAGUGCAGAAGCUUGAACUGUGGGUUGACUUUGCAGCAGGUUGGCCCCAUAAUGGGUGACUAAUUGAGCCGGUUACUCAUUGCUGAAAGGGUUUGAGAAAAAAUGAUAACCGGCAAUUUGAGGAAUACUUGAGAGUUUUUCUCACAGUGUGACACUGACUGGAUGAAUUUUAAAACUUCGCUAACGUCCAAUAGUCUAUGAUUCUAAUGUCCAGACAGAUGGUCAAAGGAGAACCCUGUCUUUAAUGGGUUCAUGCUCCAAAGACUAACUUAUAGCUAUAGGGCAGAGUUGGGUUUCUAAAUCCGGUUGGGUCUGUAUGCUAUGACUGCACAUGAAAAGAUUCCAAGUGAAAACCAGUGCUGCUGGUGACUCAUCUUACUGAAGUGUCUUUCUAAGCUACAGGAGCUCAAGGAGGUGGCCUACAAUCACUCUGCAGAAGGAGACGCUGGGCAGGGGGGGAAUCUGCUGAGGUCCCCGCCCGUUCUCUCUGUGUCACUUUUGACAGACUCUUGUUCUGUUCGCAUCCUCUAUGUGUCAUCCAUUUCUAAAAUGAGGAAGGAAGUCCCAGUGGGGCCUGAGGAGUCUGGAACGUCACAGUCCCAUGUGGGUCAGGGCUGUUCUCUUGGAUAAACUGGGAGAUGCCUCCCUCUACACAUAUGGAAGAGGCUGUGCGUCAUUGGAGUAGAAAACCACCUAGACACGAGUAUCAAGAUCUCUCCGUGCUGGAGGCAAGGUUGGCUUGCGUUGGGUUCCACGUUUUCAGGCCCCCGCAACAUGACUAAGGAUAGAGCAGAAAUGUCAAGAUUUAUUCAGGCCAGCCAUCUUGCCUUUCGUUCUUUCCUUCCCAGGGCCCCUGCUCACAUCAAACUGGGCCUCUUGCUGUCCUCCUACACCCUUAGCACCUCCCAGCCUCCAACACCUGACUCCCUUGGCAUUGCAAUUUCUCAUUUACUAAUUCAAUAACUUCUCUGUGCAAUAAUCUGCAUACUCAGAGUGCAUUCCUUUCCCCUAACACACCCAGAACUUCAUACUGUGUCCUUCCUCACACUGAGCCCUCACUCCCGUCCCCAUUUCAUACUGUUGAAUUCUUGCCCCUCCUUCAAGGCCUGCUGGAAUGCCACCUCUUCCAUAAAGUCUUCGCUUAAUCCACAGUUGAAAUAAAAGUUCAUUUGAGGCCCUUAUAACAUGUUGUACCUAUAACGAUGUGAUGAUCUCUCCAUAUUACAGCGACUUAGGUAAAUGUCCCAUAUCAACACCACAAGCUCCUUAAGAUCAUGAACUGCACCUUAUCCUAACUGGUAUCUCUAGCUCCAGGCAUGGUGCCAAGUAUACAGAAGGUGCUCCAAUAAGGAUUAGGGAAAUAUGGAUCAUGAUUUCUAAAAUCCCCACCAUGUACACAUGCCUCAGAUCCCUUAGGAGACUGGAACAUUUUAUUCAGGACGUGUAUUACCUGUGGAUAGCUCUCUCCAAAGCUACAAUGAAUUUAUCAGUAUGAUCAUGAACAGUCUGAAUUAUUUAUAUACAAGCAUGAGCUUAAAAGUUUCUUUAAAAAUAUUAUCCAAAUGCAUCAUAUCUUUUCAGUUUAUGAAAAAUUUAUUUUUCUUUUUAUGCCGUGAAAAAUCCAUUUAAAGACAACACAUACUCUAAUGAAAUAAAUAGAGCAGAAAGGUCUCUGUGAACACCUUUGGGCUGGUACUAGCUCUGUGUAAACUUCAACCCACAUGCUCUGGGCCUUGUGUCUCUAAACACAAAAACAACCAGCCUAAUGAAAAUGGAGACCAUCUAUCAAUUGUCUGCAUGCAGAGAAUUUGCCCAAGUACUUGAAAAUGUAAUUGGCUGAAUGUUUACAGGUCUAAUGAAGUGUUUUCCAUCCCAAUGUAAUGGCAAUAUUGGGCACAAAUCAAACAUUUGAGGAGGCCAAAAGGUGCACAAAGUCAGUAUUUCAGUAUUUUUCCCUGGCAUUAAAAAUUGAUAAUAACUGAAAAUUGGGGAAGGUAAAAGAAGCAUUUGUCUGUAUCAGACAAAGAAUAGAAUCAGACCGUUCAGUUGACCACAGAAAAAUGGAAGAGGAAGGAUGUUUGAAAUAGUUUCUUAUCAUCUUUGCCUACAAGUCAGAAGUCUUUUCCCCUGCUUUAUUUUGCAUAUUCUCAGUCCCAAAGCCUGGAUGCCUCCCCUAGGGUGUGUGAUGAGCACCUACAUGGGAAACUUCCAGGGACACAGCCCGGUUCUCUGAUGCAUCCUCAGCUCCCUGGCGUUGCAGCCUUCCUCUUGCUAUCUAAGGAGCCUGCGUUAGGAUGCUGUUACCACCCGGGGCAGAGGCCAGUGUCCUUGCAUGAGACUUUGUCACCGUGAUUUGAGCCUUCUGUGGGGCUUCACAUGUCAGUUGAGAGGCAGAGAGUGACAUUUUCAGAUUCCAAGGUGAUCCCUCCCUCAUUUCUCCUGACAGGUUCCUCUUAGAAGCAAAAGCCGAGGUCCCAUUCCUUUAGAAGAGAUUGGGCCCACGCAAAACUCAGGGAUCAAGUUGUUGGAUUUUUACCCCUAAUCAGAGAAAUUUCAGCUGCUUUAACAGUCAGUUUCUACAAACUUACUUGGGUUCACCAUCCAUCCACCCCCUUCCGCCUUCUGAUGGCAGGGACACACGAUGGACCAUCAUUGACUAUGAUAAGGUUUUCCCUGAUCUCUAGUCUGACAUCAGGCUCUGACACUGACCUUCCUUAAAUGAAGCUCCUGGAUCAGAUGCCUUCUAAAGCUGCAGAAAUGGAAGCCUGUGGAAAGUUCUCUUGGGUAACGUAGAAUGCAACAGCCAUUGAAGUGGCUGGGUGUGGCAGACCAAAGCCUUCUGAAGAAAAGGAAGAAGUGAUAUCAUUGCAAUCCACUAGCAGGCCUUGCACUUGAAGAGGGAAAUGAGAGCUGUGUGGAGACUUCUCUCAGCCGGCGUGUCUGCUAUGCUUAUGCAGGUUGGUACAAAGUAGAACCAAGCUUUGAAACUGGUGAUGCUGGAAAGACCCCUGCCCUCAGAUCUUAUUGGAAAAUCAGCUCUUCUCUAAAAGGAGCAGGAGGUGGAGACUGCAACAAACUCUGCUGAGGGGUCAGGGCUGACAGGCCUUUGUGAUGGAUUCCAGUCUCUAUGACUCACCAUUGUAAAUUGGCAAGUAACUCCAAUGGUCAAAUAGACAGCAUUGCUGUUUGGGAGCAGCAGGACAAAGAGGCAAGCCUGGGGCUUUUGAGUCAUUUUAUCUAAAAAGGAAUCCCAGCUGGUCCUUCACCUGUGGCGUGACCUUGGGCAGAAAUUUCCUCUCUCCCAGCCUUAGUUUCCUCAUCAGCAAAAUGAGAUGCUAAUAACCAUCUUGCAGAGUUGUGGAAAGGAUGGAAUGCAAAGUACAUGGAAUCUAGGAAGAGCUUACUUAAAGUUAGAUUUUAUUCUUCCUUGGCAGAAUCUGGGUCAGAACUUGGGCCAGCUCCAUGAAGGGUGCAACACUGGGUUUUUUUCUAAAAGUGCUGCGGACAUAGGGACAGCCCAAGCCCAUACAAUCUGGGAGUGGGGACAGCUGCCAAAUGAGGGAAGAGUGGCUUCAGAAGGCUCAGGGUCAAGGGCUGAAAUCGGCGCACACAUAUUUGUAGGCAAAGAUGGUAAGGAAGCUAUUUCCAACAUCCUUUCUAUUCCAUUUUUCUGUGGCAGACUGAACUGCUUGAUUCUAUGCUUUGCUAAUGCAGACACAUGCUUUCUUUCCCCCCCUGGUUUUCCAUUCUUAUGUAUUUUUAAUGCCAGGGAGAAACACUAACUUUGUGCACUGUUUGGCCUCCUCAAAUGUCUGAUUUGUGCCCAAUAUUAUCAUUGCACUUGGGGCAGAAAACCUUUAGUCAGCCCUGUUAUUUCAUGAGCACUUUUUACGUGCCAGCUCAGGUAAUGCAAUGGUGAAUAAGGCAGGUGCUGUGUAGCCUCAUGGAAUUUACAGGCUAAGGCUAGUCUUGGAAAAAUAAAAGGUUACCUCUUAAAGGAAA